rnacentral:rRNA from 1 species
GACGAACGCUGGCGGCGUGCUUAACACAUGCAAGUCGAACGGAAAGGCCCUGCUUUUGUGGGGUGCUCGAGUGGCGAACGGGUGAGUAACACGUGAGUAACCUGUCCCUGACUGUGGGAUAACUUCAGGAAACUGGGGCUAAUACCGGAUAGGAGCUCCUGCUGCAUGGUGGGGGUUGGAAAGUUUCGGCGGUUGGGGAUGGACUCGCGGCUUAUCAGCUUGUUGGUGGGGUAGUGGCUUACCAAGGCUUUGACGGGUAGCCGGCCUGAGAGGGUGACCGGCCACAUUGGGACUGAGAUACGGCCCAGACUCCUACGGGAGGCAGCAGUGGGGAAUAUUGCACAAUGGGCGGAAGCCUGAUGCAGCAACGCCGCGUGCGGGAUGACGGCCUUCGGGUUGUAAACCGCUUUCGCCUGUGACGAAGCGUGAGUGACGGUAAUGGGUAAAGAAGCACCGGCUAACUACGUG